rnacentral:rRNA from 1 species
UAAUCCGACCUAGGCUCAUCUGAUAGCGCAAGGCCCGAAGGUCCCCUGCUUUCUCCCGUAGGACGUAUGCGGUAUUAGCGUUCCUUUCGAAACGUUGUCCCCCACUACCAGGCAGAUUCCUAGGCAUUACUCACCCGUCCGCCGCUGAAUCAGAGAGCAAGCUCCCUUCAUCCGCUCGACUUGCAUGUGUUAGGCCUGCCGCCAGCGUUCAAUCUGAGCCAGGAUCAAACUCU